UUGUAGUAUCUUCCUCGUUGGUGGCCUUCUUGUUUUGUCCUCCUCGUUGGUGGCCUCCUCACUGUGUCCUACUCAUUGGUGUCCUCGUCGUUGUAGCCCCCUCAUUGGUGUCCUCCUUGUUGUAUCUUCCUUGUGGGUCUCCUUGUAGUAUCGUCCUCCUCGUUGGUGGUCUCCUCGUUGGUGGCCUCCUCGUUGGUGGCCUCCUCGUUGGUGGCUUCCUCAUUCCCGUCCUCCUUAUUGUAUCUUCCUCGUUGGUGGCCUCCUCGGUCUUCUCCUGAGCCUCCUCUUGGUCCUCCAUCUUCUCCUGAGCCUCCUCUUGGUCCUCCAUCUUCUCCCGAGCCUCCUCUUGGUCCUCCAUCUUCUCCCGAGCCUCCUCUUGGUCCUCCAUCUUCUCCUGAGCCUCCUCUUGGUCCUUCUCCAUCUCCUGAGCCUCCUCUUGGUUCCUCACCUUCUCCCGAGCCUCCUCUUGGUCCUUCUUGGCCCUUCUUGGCCCUUCUUGGCCCUUCUUGGCCCUUCUUGGCCCUUCUUGGCCCUUCUUGGCCCUUCUUGGCCCUUCUUGGCCCUUCUUGGCCCUUCUUGGUCCUUCU
rnacentral:lncRNA from 1 species